GGCGGUGUAGCUCAGAUGGUCAGAGCACGCGGCUCAUAUCCGCGGCGUCGACAGUUCGACUCUGUCCACCGCCACCA
rnacentral:tRNA from 1 species